UGAUGUAGGUUAUGUUCACAAAGAUAUGUUUACACAAAAACCCAUCAAAACUUUUCUUUUUUUCCUUGGAAAUCGUUGAAGUAAUACACAAAGUCAAAUGUGUAGUGUUAUUAAAAUCUAAACUUUCACGCAAAGUGAUCUAGCUAAUUGAUAUGUAUGUUGGCCAUCUUAUCAACUACAAACUGAAAGCAUUCACCACAAAACGCUUAUCUCUCUCUCUCUCUGCUCGCUACGAUACCGGUCACCGGCGCCGCUAAUCCGACCGGCCCCUGGCGACGGUUUUUCCCCGAUAAGGCACACCCAACAAACUCUAAACACCCAGCUCUCCCUCUUAUCUCCUGCCGGCGACGACCACGGAGGUCCGACAGAAUUAUCGGCGAUGGCAUAACGACGGUGGAGAUACGUUCUCCGACAAAAUUCCUCCGGCGACCCCCCCUCCGCCCAACUCGUUCCUUUUUCCGGCGAGUGAGCUUCGACGGCUGGGCCACCGUGAGUGGCUGUGGUACCUCUGUUCUUUUCAACAAGUUUUCCGAUGCUCGAGGAUGACGAUAUUGAUGUUGUUGACGGUAAUUAACGCCGGCAGGGUUCCGGGUGGUGGCUGGUCACGAGCGGUGGAUGUCGGCGAAAACAGUGGCGGCGGUGUGAUCCUGAAAUGGUAGUCUCCGGCCACACAUGACAACCGCGUACGACGGCGGCACUAGCGACGUUUCGAGCGACGGCGGCGACAGGUUUGUUCAACAUCGGUUUCUGUUCGACUCAGUCUUGGUACGGGUUUCGCGGUACGAUCGGUUUGAGUAAACAAGUCAAAGACAGACAAACAAAUAUCUCGGUUCAUUAGGUUCGGGUUUAACUCAUUUAUGGUCCAACUCAACUUGACUGGGUUCAGUGUUGGUUCGUGUUUGGUUUUACACGGUUAAAGCUCAGAUUUGUUUCGGUUUCGAGUUCGGGUCAACUCGAUCAACCUAGAGUCAACACGGGUUAACUCAGUUCGGUUCUGGUCAACGGCAGUCAACACAAAGACCUGGAAUGUCAUAGUUGCAUGCUAGCUAACUCACGUCCUUGGAACGACACUUCCGAAUCAUGCUAGGCUAGCUUUGCGCAGGAAUGUCAAGGUUGCAUUUUCAAAACUAUGGACCGGUUGGAAUAGGAGAACCCAUGGGGAUUCGAGUACUUAGUGGGUGUUCAACUGUUUAGAAGUCUUAGCUCAAAUACUUCCGCUGUGCAAUGAAGAUACCAGUCCAGUCACGCCAGCUCUGAUAUUUUCGGGGUAUGACACUGUAUUCAUGCACCUCUUAAACAGGGUAUGCAAACCUUAUUUGGAUAAAUUCAUCAUAGUAUUCAUCGACGAUAUACUUAUCCUAUUCGUGAACCAAAGAAGAUCAUGAGCAUCAUUUGAAGUUGAUUUUGGAGCUGCUGAAGGAAGAGAAGUUGUAUGCCAAGUUAUCUAAGUGUGAAUUCUGGAUUCGAGAAGUUCAUUUUCUCGGACAUGUCAUAAACGAGAAAGGUAUUCACGUGGAUCCGUCGAAGAUUGAGGCGAUCAAGAAUUGGGAAGCGCUAGAGACUCUGUGAUACGCUAGGUCGUUAGAUACUUAGCAGGAGCUUGCAUGGGAGGAGUCGUUGUGGAACAUGGACCAUUGUGUGUUCAUGAUAAACUUAUGAACUUUAAACUUAUCUUUUGGUUUUGAACUUAUUGCUUCCGCUGAUAACUAAGACUUUGUUAAAUUGUUUUGUC
rnacentral:lncRNA from 1 species